UACGUAGGGGGCGAGCGUUGUCCGGAUUUAUUGGGCGUAAAGAGCUCGUAGGCGGUUUGGCAAGUCGGAUGUGAAAUCUCCAGGCUCAACCUGGAGGGGUCAUUCGAAACUGCUAUGACUAGAGUUCGGUAGAGGAGUGUGGAAUUCCUGGUGUAGCGGUGAAAUGCGCAGAUAUCAGGAGGAACACCGGUGGCGAAGGCGGUUCUCUGGGAAUGUCCUGACGCUGAGGAGCGAAAGUGUGGGGAGCGAACAGG
rnacentral:rRNA from 1 species